rnacentral:rRNA from 1 species
UAACACAUGCAAGUCGAGGGGCAGCAUGGUCUUAGCUUGCUAAGGCCGAUGGCGACCGGCGCACGGGUGAGUAACACGUAUCCAACCUGCCGUCUACUCUUGGACAGCCUUCUGAAAGGAAGAUUAAUACAAGAUGGCAUCAUGAGUCCGCAUGUUCACAUGAUUAAAGGUAUUCCGGUAGACGAUGGGGAUGCGUUCCAUUAGAUAGUAGGCGGGGUAACGGCCCACCUAGUCUUCGAUGGAUAGGGGUUCUGAGAGGAAGGUCCCCCACAUUGGAACUGAGACACGGUCCAAACUCCUACGGGAGGCAGCAGUGAGGAAUAUUGGUCAAUGGGCGAGAGCCUGAACCAGCCAAGUAGCGUGAAGGAUGACUGCCCUAUGGGUUGUAAACUUCUUUUAUAAAGGAAUAAAGUCGGGUAUGGAUACCCGUUUGCAUGUACUUUAUGAAUAAGGAUCGGCUAACUCCGUGCCAGCAGCCGCGGUAAUACGGAGGAUCCGAGCGUUAUCCGGAUUUAUUGGGUUUAAAGGGAGCGUAGAUGGAUGUUUAAGUCAGUUGUGAAAGUUUGCGGCUCAACCGUAAAAUUGCAGUUGAUACUGGAUAUCUUGAGUGCAGUUGAGGCAGGCGGAAUUCGUGGUGUAGCGGUGAAAUGCUUAGAUAUCACGAAGAACUCCGAUUGCGAAGGCAGCCUGCUAAGCUGCAACUGACAUUGAGGCUCGAAAGUGUGGGUAUCAAACAGGAUUAGAUACCCUGGUAGUCCACACGGUAAACGAUGAAUACUCGCUGUUUGCGAUAUACUGCAAGCGGCCAAGCGAAAGCGUUAAGUAUUCCACCUGGGGAGUACGCCGGCAACGGUGAAACUCAAAGGAAUUGACGGGGGCCCGCACAAGCGGAGGAACAUGUGGUUUAAUUCGAUGAUACGCGAGGAACCUUACCCGGGCUUAAAUUGCAGAUGAAUUACGGUGAAAGCCGUAAGCCGCAAGGCAUCUGUGAAGGUGCUGCAUGGUUGUCGUCAGCUCGUGCCGUGAGGUGUCGGCUUAAGUGCCAUAACGAGCGCAACCCUUGUUGUCAGUUACUAACAGGUUCCGCUGAGGACUCUGACAAGACUGCCAUCGUAAGAUGUGAGGAAGGUGGGGAUGACGUCAAAUCAGCACGGCCCUUACGUCCGGGGCUACACACGUGUUACAAUGGGGGGUACAGAGGGCCGCUACCACGCGAGUGGAUGCCAAUCCCCAAAACCUCUCUCAGUUCGGACUGGAGUCUGCAACCCGACUCCACGAAGCUGGAUUCGCUAGUAAUCGCGCAUCAGCCACGGCGCGGUGAAUACGUUCCCGGGCCUUGUACACACCGCCCGUCAAGCCAUGGGAGCCGGGGGUACCUGAAGUGCGUAACCGCGAGGAGCGCCCUAGGGUAAAACUGGUGACUGGGGCCAAGUC